UUCCGUAGGUGAAACCUGCGGAGGGAUCAUUACACAACAAAAUAUGAAGGCCUGGCUUCGCGGCCGGCUUGAAAUAUUUUUUUCACCCAUGUCUUUUGCGCACUUGUUGUUUCCUGGGCGGGUUCGCCCGCCACCAGGACCAAACCAUAAACCUUUUUUUUAUGCAGUUGCAAUCAGCGUCAGUAAAAACAAUGUAAUUAUUACAACUUUCAACAACGGAUCUCUUGGUUCUGGCAUCGAUGAAGAACGCAGCGAAAUGCGAUACGUAGUGUGAAUUGCAGAAUUCAGUGAAUCAUCGAAUCUUUGAACGCACAUUGCGCCCUUUGGUAUUCCAAAGGGCAUGCCUGUUCGAGCGUCAUUUGUACCUUCAAGCUUUGCUUGGUGUUGGGCGUUUUUUGUCUCCCUCUUUCUGGGAGACUCGCCUUAAAACGAUUGGCAGCCGGCCUACUGGUUUCGGAGCGCAGCACAUAUUUUGCGCUUUGUAUCAGGAGAAAAGGACGGUAAUCCAUCAAGACUCUACAUUUUUAACUUUUGACCUCGGAUCAGGUAGGGAUACCCGCUGAACUUAAGCAUAUCAAUUAAGCGGAGGAA
rnacentral:rRNA from 1 species